GACGAACGCUGGCGGCGUGCUUAACACAUGCAAGUCGAACGGUGAAGCGCCUUCCUUUUUGGUGGGUGUGGAUGAGUGGCGAACGGGUGAGUAACACGUGAGUAACCUGCCCCCUUCUUCUGGAUAACCGCAUGAAAGUGUGGCUAAUACGGGAUAUUCUGGGUCUGUCGCAUGAUGGGUCUGGGAAAGAUAUUGUUUCGGUGGGGGAUGGGCUCGCGGCCUAUCAGCUUGUUGGUGGGGUGAUGGCCUACCAAGGCGGUGACGGGUAGCCGGGCUGGGAGGGUGGACGGUCACACUGGGACUGAGACACGGCCCAGACUCCUACGGGAGGCAGCAGUGGGGAAUAUUGCACAAUGGGCGCAAGCCUGAUGCAGCGACGCCGCGUGAGGGAUGGAGGCCUUCGGGUUGUGAACCUCUUUCGCCAGUGAAGCAGGCCUGCCUCGUAUGUGGGUGGGUUGACGGUAGCUGGAGAAGAAGCACCGGCUAACUACGUG
rnacentral:rRNA from 1 species